rnacentral:rRNA from 1 species
UAAGGAAUAUUGGACAAUGGACGGAAGUCUGAUCCAGCCAUCCCGCGUGGAGGAAUAAGGCCCUAUGGGUUGUAAACUCCUUUAGCAGGGGAAUAAAAAGGUCAUUUAUGAUCAAUUGAAGGUACCCUGAGAAUAAGCACCGGCUAACUCCGUGCCAGCAGCCGCGGUAAUACGGAGGGUGCAAGCGUUAUCCGGAUUUACUGGGUUUAAAGGGUGCGUAGGCGGACUAUUAAGUCAAAUGUGAAAGCUU